CCAAAUUCCCCUUCUUCAAUUCAUUUGGUUAGGGAUUCCUCCAAUUUUGAAGUCCAUUGAAGCACGUAGUACUCUGAAUCCUUUCCUCUCUGGUCCAAUGAAGCAGUACUCUGAAUCCUUUACAUUCAAGUUGUAUUUUGAAUUCUCCAUUGAAGCCGUACAUUAAGCUCUUCUCUGAAAUGGCUUUUGGGCCUUUUGUUCUCCAUUGAAUAAGCUUCUCGGGUACUUUUUUUUUUCUUAUAAAUCAUCACCGACUAUCGAUUUUACAAUCUAGGGUUUGCCUCUUGGCUUUUGUUUUAUAUUCAUAUUUUUGAUUUUAGGUAAUUGAUUUAUAAAAAAGGAUUUGUAAUUGAUUUGUAAUCAUCAUCGACUAUCGUAUUCUAGGGUUUAUGGAGGUGAUGGUGGUGGUGACGAUGGUCGCGGUAUCCAUUACGGUGCUUCGAUUUCUAGGAUUUUGGAUUAUAGCUGAGAAGAGAUUUAAGACUACCACUCCUCUCCUCACUACCACAUGCACGGGACUGCAUUGUGGAGGUGGUUGAAACAUUAGCCACAACACAUAAUAUUCAAACUAUUGCAUAGGAUGCUGCAAUUAGGGAAGAGAUAGCCUGUGAUGAAGCUGAGCUCGGGGAAGAAGAAUUUGCUAAAAAAUGCACAACCAGCAUGAUCUACAAGCACAGGUAGAGUUUAAUUAACACUUUCAAUGGCUGUGAGUAAUUGUUGCUGAGUGUCACAUGAAAAUAGAGAUGUUAAAGUAUAUGGGUAAAUUUCACACAGAUGACUAGUCGGCUAUUCUUGAGAAGGUAUAAUUUCUCUCUUCAGCUUGGUUCUGGCUAAUCUGUUGUUUACUAUGGCUGCGAUUUUCUCUAAAAGCAUAAAUGUAAAAAGUGUCACAUGAACAAAGCUGUUACAGUUUUUUGACUCCUUGCAAGGUUGCAUGCUGAAUUUGUGUAUUGCUUAAAUGAGGUUGCAGUUCUUGACUGCUCUUACCUCUUAGUGAGUUAGUUCUGGUGUUUAAUUCUUGACUGCUCUUACCUCUUAUUCCGUCUUGGUACCUCAGUUAGUUCAGGUGGUGCCUUUAUUAUGUGUAGUGAGAUAAUUGAUGUAAAUGAAUGAAAGUAUUGUUUGCAUGCAACUUUUUCUACAUCUAUAUUGUUAUCUCCUUAUGUGUGUCCUUGUGCUGUGCUAAUGGAGAGGCACUAGACUCGUUUUCAUGGACGGUUAGCUGGGUUGUCCCUGUUACUUUUUUUGGUCAUAAUCAGGCGCAUUAAUUUAAGCAAUGUACGGGGGCAUUAAUUUUCUGCACCGUAUUGAUUUUUUUUAUUUUUUUAUUUUUAUUUUUUUUUUUUUUUUUUUAUUGAUGGGAGAAGAAUGAUAAGGAAAUUCUUGGUAUAAAUUUUGGCAUCUUUACAGACUUACAGUUUUUAGCUUCUCUUAGGUGCACACUUCUAACAAUUUUCCUACUGUGCCCCUUCCAGAAAUAAUGGUGGCAACUUAAUUAGUUCACCUACAGUGCAUGAAUCGGUGCUUUUGAUUCCAGAAUACCUUUGACUACUACUUAGUUCUAUUUCUUGUUGGUUAUUUAGCUAGUACUUUGUUAUAUUCCGGGGUGCUAUUUUGUUUUUCAGACUUGGAAUGCUUAUCUUUUGGUAAUUAAUGUGGCUACUGCCACUAUAAAUUAAUAAUAUUUUCUUUUUUGUGUAAAAAAAAAAAUUAUUUGCUGCCAUCUUUUAAACAACCAUAAUCUGAGCUAUGCUGAUUGUGGGCUUGGUCUAUUAUAAUUUAUAAUUUAGUUUAAUUAUAUUUCUUUUAUUUUUUUCAAUUUUACGUGUAGGUGCAUGGGGAGUGAAAUGGAGUGGAAGUAUAGUGACUAGCCAUCUAACAAAUGGUGCAUAUAUGUUGGCGACUCUUAUUCAAGUUCCGGCUUUGUGAAGAUUUGGAUAUUUCGGCUUAUAUAUAUGUUGACAAUUUGUACUUUGGACGAUCAAAUUAAUUAUCUAACUUUUAUUUAUUAUUAGUAGGGUAUGUCAUACCAAUAAUAGGCAAGUAAUAUUUUGUAAUGUACGUAUUUUGCAUUAUAAUUAUUAUAUAUAAAUGAUACUUUAAUUUGUUUAUGUUAGUAUAUUUAGAUUUGUACCGACUAAUUAAUAUUAUAUUACCAUUUCAUCCCAACAAAAAAAAAAAGAAAAAAAACCCAAUGAUCAAUCCGUUGCAGUAGAUACGUACUCCUAUCAUUGUAUUAAUUAGCUUCAUCCGUUGCAAUAGGUUCAAUUUCAUCAUAAUUAUUAGUCAGUACUCUAUUGCCACGGAUAAGUUAUGCCGUUGCAAUAGGUAUUGGUCUAU